rnacentral:rRNA from 1 species
AGUGAACGCUGGCGGUAGGCCUAACACAUGCAAGUCGAACGGCAGCACAGUAAGAGCUUGCUCUUACGGGUGGCGAGUGGCGGACGGGUGAGGAAUACAUCGUAAUCUACUUUUUCGUGGGGGAUAACGUAGGGAAACUUACGCUAAUACCGCAUACGACCUACGGGUGAAAGCAGGGGAUCUUCGGACCUUGCGCGAUUGAAUGAGCCGAUGUCGGAUUAGCUAGUUGGCGGGGUAAAGGCCCACCAAGGCGACGAUCCGUAGCUGGUCUGAGAGGAUGAUCAGCGACACUGGAACUGAGACACGGUCCAGACUCCUACGGGAGGAAGCAGUGGGGAAUAUUGGACAAUGGGCGCAAGCCUGAUCCAGCCAUACCGCGUGGGUGAAGAAGGCCUUCGGGUUGUAAAGCCCUUUUGUUGGGAAAGAAAAGCAGCAGGUUAAUACCCCGCUGUUCUGACGGUACCCAAAGAAUAAGCACCGGCUAACUUCGUG